GACGAACGCUGGCGGCGUGCUUAACACAUGCAAGUCGAACGGAAAGGCCCUGCUUUUGUGGGGUGCUCGAGUGGCGAACGGGUGAGUAACACGUGAGUAACCUGCCCUUGACUUUGGGAUAACUUCAGGAAACUGGGGCUAAUACCGGAUAGGAUCUCCUGCUGCAUGGUGGGGGUUGGAAAGUUUCGGCGGUUGGGGAUGGACUCGCGGCUUAUCAGCUUGUUGGUUGGGUAGUGGCUUACCAAGGCUUUGACGGGUAGCCGGCAUGAGAGGGUGACCGGGGACAUUGGGACUGAGAGACGGCCCAGACUCGUACGGGAGGCAGUAGUGGGGAAUAUUGCACAAUGGGAGGAAGCCUGAUGCAGAAACGCCGCGUGCGGGAUGACGGUCUUCGGGUUGUAAACAGCUUUCGCCUGUGACGAAGCGUGAGUGACGGUAAUGGGUAAAGAAGCACCGGCUAACUACGUG
rnacentral:rRNA from 1 species